CCUACGGGUGGCAGCAGUGAGGAAUAUUGGUCAAUGGCCGGAAGGCUGAAGUAGCCAAGCCGCGUGAAGGACGAAGGUGCUAAGCAUUGUAAACUUCUUUUGUCAAGGGACAAAAUCAGGCUCGAGAGCCUGACCGAGGGUACUUGAAGAAAAAGCAUCGGCUAACUCCGUGCCAGCAGCCGCGGUAAUACGGUGGAUGCGAGCGUUAUCCGGAUUUAUUGGGUUUAAAGGGUGCGUAGGCGGACGGUUAAGUCAGCGGUAAAAGCCCGGGGCUCAACCCCGACGAGCCGUUGAAACUGGCUGUCUUGAGAUGGCGAGAGGUAUGCGGAAUGCGCGGUGUAGCGGUGAAAUGCUUAGAGAUUGGGAAGAACUCCGAUGGCGAAGGCAGCAUACCGGCGGCGAACUGACGCUGAGGCACGAAAGCGUGGGUAUCGAACAGGAUUAGAUACCCUUGUAGUC
rnacentral:rRNA from 1 species